UACGAAGGGGGCUAGCGUUGCUCGGAAUCACUGGGCGUAAAGGGCGCGUAGGUGGCCCGUGGAAGUCUGCGGUGAAAGUCCGGCGCUCAACGCCGGAUCGGCCGUGGAUACUCUCGGGCUUGAGCUUACUAGAGGCAGAUGGAAUUCCGGGUGUAGCGGUGGAAUGCGUAGAGAUCCGGAAGAACACCGGUGGCGAAGGCGGUCUGCUGGGGUAAUGCUGACACUGAUGCGCGACAGCGUGGGGAGCAAACAGG
rnacentral:rRNA from 1 species